GUUCUACACCCUCCGUCUCAUAUCAAGUGGCUUUCUAUUGCAUGUAUCUAGAUGCUUUUUAGGCAUAGAUACGUCCAUAUUUGAACAAAUUUGAGUCACUUAAUAUGGGACGGAGGGAGUAUUUU
rnacentral:pre_miRNA from 1 species